UUUCCCUCAGGAUAGCUGGCACUCGCUUGAGCGAGUCUCAUCUGGUAAAGCGAAUGAUUAGAGGCCUUGGGGCCGAAACGACCUCAACCUAUUCUCAAACUUUAAAUGGGUGAGAUCUCUGGCUUGCUUGAACGUUGAAGCCAUGAGAUUAAAUAUUUUUUAUUUUUUCAAUGGAUCAGAGUGCCAAGUGGGCCAAUUUUGGUAAGCAGAACUGGCGCUGUGGGA
rnacentral:rRNA from 1 species